rnacentral:rRNA from 1 species
AGUGAACGCUGGCGGUAGGCCUAACACAUGCAACUCGAACGGCAGCACAGUAACAGUUUGCUUUUACAGGUGGCGAGUGGCGGACGAGUGAGGAAUACAUCGCAAUCUACUUUUACGUGGGGGAUAACCAAGGGAGACUGACGCUAAUACCUCAUACUACCUUCGGCUGGAAGCAGGGGAUAUUCGGACUUCGCGCGAUUGAAUGAGCCGAAGCCGAGUUCCCUGGUUGGCGGGGUAAAGGCCUACCAAGGCGACGGUCCGUAGCCGGUCUGAGGUGAUGAUCAGCCACCCUGGAACUGGGACACCGUCCAGACUCCUACGGGAGGCAGCAGUCGGGAAUAGUGGACAGUGGGCGCAGACCUGAUCCAACCAUACCCCAUGGGUGAGGAAGGCCUUCGGGUUGUAACGGACUCUUAUUGGGAAAGAACAGCGCUAGGCUAAUACCCCGCUGUUCUGACGGUACCCAAAGAAUAAGCACCCGCUGACUUCGUG